GAUGAACGCUAGCGAUAGGUUUAACACAUGCAAGUCGAGGGGCAUCACGAGGUAGCAAUACUUUGGUGGCGACCGGCGUACGGGUGCGUAACACGUAUGCAACCUUCCUGUAAGUGUGGGAUAGCCUCCUGAAAGGGAGAUUAAUACCUCAUGAUAUGUAUUUGCUGCAUGGCAUUUACAUUAAACAUUUAUGGCUUACAGAUGGGCAUGCGUUCCAUUAGGCAGUUGGUGUGGUAACGGCUCACCAAACCUACGAUGGAUAGGGGUUCUGAGAGGAAGGUCCCCCACACUGGAACUGAGACACGGUCCAGACUCCUACGGGAGGCAGCAGUGAGGAAUAUUGGUCAAUGGGCGCGAGCCUGAACCAGCCACGUCGCGUGAAGGAUGACGGCCUUAUGGGUUGUAAACUUCUUUUACUAGGGGAAUAAAGUGAGUCACGUGUGAUUUUUGUCAUGUACCCUGUGAAUAAGCAUCGGCUAACUCCGUGCC
rnacentral:rRNA from 1 species